GGGAAGGUAGCUCAGUGGUAGAGUGCUUGCCUUGCAUGCAUGAGGCCCCGGGUUCGAUUCCCUCAGCACCA
rnacentral:tRNA from 1 species